rfam:Mustela putorius furo unplaced genomic scaffold scaffold00033, whole genome shotgun sequence.
GAUUGCUUCAGCAACACAUAUACCAAAAUUCGAAUGGGACAGAGAAGAUUAGCAUGGGCCUUGCACAAAGAUGACAUGCAAAUUCAUGAAGCAGUCAUUCCCUACUUUA